CUCACCGGCACCUUCCAGGCAGCGGCUGCCUGGAAGGUGCCGGAAGGUGGUCCCGCCCCCCAGAACUCUAAUCCAAUCAAUGCGCUACCCACUUGGAGCGCAUAUUCAAACCCACUUGGAGCGGAGCGCAUAUUCAAACCCACUUGGAGCGCAUUUGGAGCGCAUUUAACCCACUUGGUUCAACAAUUUCAAUUUCAAAGGCAAUGGAGAAGCAUUGGCUGAAGUCAAUUGAAGAUGGCUUAAAGAAGGAAAGGGACCGAAGAAGCGAACCCGUAACUAGUCUUUCCCCAGUUCUCCGACCUGUCCCACACUGCCCCAAUAAAAUAUUUAGAUAAUAUUUAUAGUGUAUUAAAUUCUGCCAUCCUUAGUGCUUAGUAAACUAAGCUGUUUGCGUGUGAAAUUUUGUUUUUACCAUUUUACUGUGUGUAUGAGGGUUGUACUUGGCCUUUAUUUUCAAUAAAGAAUAUGUCACACCCCAUCA